AAAAAAGAAAAAGUACUCACUUUAGCUGGGAAAGACGGAGUACUAGAUAAAUACAAAUAUUCAGAUUCAGUCGAUUAUUUAUAUUAUUAAGUAUUUUUAUUUAUAUUAUUCAGUUGACUAAACACGUGUCACACAACACAUUGUUGUUGAACCUAUAUAUUGAGGCCACGCCACACAGUUAUUAUAUACGUAACAUAUAUUACCUCCGUUUCAUUGGGUUUGUUUAAUUUCUUUUGGGCACGGUUAUUAAGGAGAGUUAAAUUAGUGUAGUAAAGUGUGUGGUCAUAUUGGUUUGUAGUGUAAAAUUAUUACCCAAAAUAGAAACAGGACAAGAUUAAUGGAACAACCUAAAAAAAAAUAGGACAAGAUCAAUGGAACAGAAUGAGUAUAUGUUAGUGAUUGGGCGUAUUUUAUACGUAUAUUUUGAGUGUUUUUGGUGGUAGUUUUAAUGUCAUAGUUUCUGCUUAUUAUUAUCUUUUGUAGUUAAUUGUGGAACUAAUAAAUCUUUUUAAUUGUUUUUUUAUUAGGUAUUUGAAGAAAAGACUGGAUUUUGAAAAGAAUUGUGAAAUUGUGAAGAAUGAAAGUGAAGGAUGAAUGUCGAGAAAGUGGGCUGGAGUAGUUGACUUAUUAUUAGUGGUUUAUUUAUUUAUUUUGUUGGGGUUAAGCAUUUAUUUUGAUUAAGGGCUGAACGCCACUUUUAGUUUCUAAGUGUAGGCCUAUGCGCCACUUUCAUUUAAUUCCUUAGUUAGUUUAGGUUUUGAUUUUAUUAGUUUAUGGCUUACACGCCACUUGAUUCCUUUUAGACUAGGUUUUAUUAUUACCUUAUAUAUAUAUAUAUAUAUAUAGGGGAGGGAUCUAUAGAGAAUGCCUAUAAAAUAAAGAAUGGAGAAUAACUCCUUACCGUUAGAUCUUGCAAAAGUAGCGGUCAUGAUUGAAUUCAAAUAUCCAUAAAAAAUCAUGUUUAAUUAAUGUAAAUCAUUUUUAUAUUCAAAUAAGGGUAGUUCGGCCAAUUAAACCACACCCAAAAUCUGAAACAUAUCUCACUUCCGAAAAUAAAGCAACCCCUUUCUUCCAUUAUUCCAUAGAUUUUUACAGUUUUCGAAAAAUCACAAUCCGUUGCAGACAAACGAUUUAGAGAGCAAAAGAAUUUUGAAGAAGGUCGCCGGCCGUGAGUUCAUUCAGUUUUUGGAAAGAUUGGAACCACUGAUUUCAUUUAUUCAGUUUUUUUAAAAAGAUUCGAAUGUGGGUAAACCAUUGUCGAUCUUGAUUCGAAUUUUUGAAUUUUAUUUGCUGAAAUGUUAAAAUAUUUUACAAAAAAUAUUUCGAACGAUACGUAAAAAAGUUAUGAACAACUAAAUAAAAUUUGUAAAUUUUCAAAUUUUAUUUGCUGAAAUGUUAAAAUAUUUUACAAAAAAUAUUUAGAACAAGUUUUAAAAAGUUACGAACAUCUAAAAUAAAUUUUUUGAAUUUUACUUAUGUUGUGAUAAAAUAAAUCAUACCAGUAAACUACAAAAAAAAACCAAAAAAAAAGUCUUACAUAUGUUGAAUAUAUAAGAAAGGAACCAAUUUGUUUUUGUUUUGUUUAGUGGUUUAAAAAAAAUGGAUUAACAUGAACCUUUCCGAAUGAAUGUCUUAAAAAUAUGAACAUUCAAGUAAAGAAAUCUGAAUAUUGAUAUUUGAUUGAAUUGUAAAAAAUAAUUGAACAUAAAUUUUUUUGAAUAAGCGCAAUAAAAUUACGAACGUCUAAAUAAAUUAUUCGAAAAAGCGUAACAAUACUACGAAUAUGUAAGUAAAAAUAUUCGAAUUCUUAAAUAACUAAAUUAAAACUUCAUACUUUGUGUUCAUCUCUCACGGAUAAUACAUUCAACAAUGUCAAACACUUUUAAUUAUUUAACCUUAAUUAUGAAAACGAAAACAGAAAGAAAAAGAAAAAGAAAAAAACGUCUAGUAUAAAAUAUAAUUCAAAUUAAAAAAGAAUGAAGAUAUACAUAACUCCUACCAAAAAUAAAUAAGAUUCGGUCAACACUAAUUAAUCUAUAAACAGUUACAUGAAACAAGGAAUUACAUUAACACCCUUAUCAUAAUUUCGAAAAUUAUAAAUCUGAAUUAAUCAUAACCGUGAGAUUACUUAAAUCUAGGGGCCCACAUUCAUUCUCUAUUCUCAAAAUACUUACCAUACUCUAUGGAUCUUCUCCCUAUAUAUAUAUAUAUAUAUAUAUAUAUAUAUAUAUAUAUUAGUUAAAGAUUAGUGAGAAUAGGAUAUCAGACGGCACUUUGGAACAGAUCCUGGGACGCAAGCCUUGGAGUUUCAACAUUCAGUUUUAUUUCUUUCAUCACUUUUCGCAAUUUAUUCUUUUAAUUUAUUUAUUUUAUUUGUUUAUGAGUUCUAGCUAAUUUCGUUUGUUCCAGCAACGAUUAGGGAAGCACUAGCAAGAUUAUUCUGUGAGAUCUAAUUUGUUCUUAUACUUUAUUUUAUGCUUGUAUCUGUGAUUCUCUGUGUUUAUCGUCAUUAAUUGUUUUAAUCCAUUAGGUAGUGCGCAAAUAUUUAGUGGGUUAGAAUUAAUUAUACAGCCAAUUGAACCGGCCAUCCGUAAUUGUGGUUUAGGUUUGAUUAGUGGUAAAUUGACACAUCAGGGUCAAGGGAAAAACAGUCUUAAUUCAAUAAUCCUGCGUCAGAGUUUAUUGGUUUUGAAUCGGGUUUCUCUAGAUAUUAAUGCUGUCGACUCAUUAAAUCUAUAGAGCGUCUCUUACGGUUGUCAGUCAAUUAGGGUAGUAAUUAGUGAAGCGUCUUCCUGGUUACCGAAUAAUUAAGGAGAAAUAAGAUCACGUCAGAAGCGUCUUCGGUGGUUAUAACUGGUUUGCUCGCAUGAAUUAAAGUUAUAUUUGCAUCAAUGAUCAGAAUAAUUAAGCUAGGGUGGACUUAAUUGAUUGCUGGAAUUCUUUAUUAAUUGUUGGAGUUUUAUAUUUAUUCUUUAGGAUUAUAACCAUUGCAAUUCUUUUGGGUUUUAUUUAUUUAUUUUUAGAUUUAGUAUUUUUUCAAUAUUUUUUCAUAAAUUUCGUUUCUGGAGUUUCUUUGCAGGUUGGAUUUUAGGAGAAUUCUCACCGAUCCCUUGGGAAACGAUUUUGCUUACUGCUGUCUGUGGGCAUACCGGCUGACUGCCGGAUAUUUUUGGUGUAAAACGACGCACCAUUAUGAUUGAGAACGUUAAUCUAAAAAAUCACAAUUCGAAUAACUCGUAAUUAAAUAGCUCGACAACUCAAUUUUCUUGGCGGGAUUGACAUUGUUACUUUCAUGUAUUGGUUCUUAAUUAUGCAUGGAAUAAAAAGAAAAGCAUGAAUUAUAUCAUCCAAAUAAUUUCAUUUUAUUUUUUCCGGUAACGUAUAUAUAUGAUAUAUCCCCUCCCUAUUGAAUUUGCAAAUUUAUGAAAUAAAAGAGGCUUUACCGCGGACUUUUCAUCAUCUUUUUUACAUUUAAUCUCCUCUUUGCAAAUUAAUUUAAACUUAAUAGGUUUGAGUCAACUAUUAUCGAAUAUCAGGUUCAACCAAUAGAUAUUUUUAAUUGGAUGCUGAGGCGACCACAAUUAAUUAAAUUAUGUGUUGCCGUAGUUGAAAAUCCGUGAAUCAACACCAGCUACGAGGUAGCUAGUGCAUUUUUAAUUUAGCACAAUUCAUAAUACAACUCUAAUUUCCUAAACUCAGAAUUACUAAAAAAAAAAGCAAGGAUUAACAAAAAAAGAAAAAAAAGAAAUACAUACAAAUUAUGUAAAUUAAAGUCUUUGCUUACGUCGUUAUAUAUAAUCCCAAGCAUAAUAAAAGUAGUCAUGCAAUAUAUCUGAAUAGACAAGGCGGAAAGAAAUGCAUCCAGCAGCAACCAGAGGCGGAGGCGCGGAUGGCUCCGCCGCCAAAGGCGACGGCGACACCCUCGAGUCCGGCGGCUACCACCGCGAGAACUACCAGCAGAAGUUCUCCGGCGUGGCUCUUAGAAUAACGCUGAUUUUUGUGGUGGUGGGCGUAACCGCCCUUCUUCUCAAUCAAUCUAGCUAUCCUUUCGAGUUCUUUCGCAGCUCUAAUUCAUUUUCAAUUCCAUCCUGUGAGAAUAUUGCCAACGCUUCGUCUUCUUCUUCUUCUUCUUCGGUAUGUUUUUCAUCACUUUAAUUUUUACUUUCUUAUUUCUUAUUGGAUGUUAAUUUUUUGUUGAAUUUUGUUUAGUCUUAUUUUUUUGUGACGAUUUUUUUAAUUGAUUAAGAUUAUAGUUAUGUUUGAGUAAGGAUUGGUUAUUCUAAAAACUAUAUUUUUCAUAAAAAUGUACUGCGUCUGCGUGUAAUUUUUUUCGCCCUUGUGAGAUUCGAACUCUAACCCUUCACCGACAUGGAAAAUACUGUUUAGUUUUAAUUAGCUACUCCAAAGAUAGAGAGAGCAAUUUGUAUGAAUAAAAAUUACUAACUUUUUCUCUUCUUCUUUUACAUUAUUGUAACUAGCUGAUUAACGAUAUAUUCACUCCGUCUAAUAAAAAUAUGAAUAUUUAUAAGUGACACGGAUUUUAAGAAAUAUUAGAUAAAAAUUUAUCGUGAAUGAAAAAGUAGUUCCA
rnacentral:lncRNA from 1 species